rnacentral:tRNA from 1 species
GAGGAAAACAGGCUGUGAGACAGGGCUGCUAACUCAUGUCUUGGGUGGCUCGACUCCGCUCUUUCCUCU